UGGAGGAUUGAGGAAAACACCAUACAAUCAAGCAGCAUCAGACACCAGGAGGAUCCUGUGGACUGAAAAGGCCUCAAGUGGAGUAUUGGGUCCAGUUCUGGGCACUACACUUCAGGAAAGACAUGGACAAAUUGGAGACAGUCCAGAGGAGAGCAACAAAAAUGAGUAGAGGUCUAGAAAACAUGACCUACAAGAAAAGAUUGAAAAAUUGGAUUUGUUUGGACUGGAGAAGGGAAGAUUGAGGGGCACAUACCAGUCACCAUGUAACAGCCCUGGGCUCUGGAGUGCCUCAGGGGAAUGUGGCCACUGGACGUUACAACAGAAUUGGGGUUUGUGAGUCAGGAGCAAACGAGGAUCCAGGAUGCUGCAAUAUUAGACCCAGAAUGAAGACAGCCAGCAUGGCUGAACCCUCCCACUCUGAAGACAUCACUUUUAGUUUUUUUGUGUGAUUUAUGUUUUUGUUGGGUGCUUAGGGCUCAGUGAUACCGGCUGUGCCUCAUUCACUCGGCCUUGCCUCAUGGCUCAGAGACGCAGUUCCCAUACUUCCAGGUUUCCCUUCUCUCCUUAGUGAGGCAAGGUGUCUAGUUCAAAGGGCUUGUGAACGUAAUGGGAUGUAGGGGGAUCUCUUGAGGGUGGUCUAGUUGCUUCCACUGAACAGAAGCAGAAUUGAUUUCAUAAUAAUAAAAACACCCAGCUCUUACACAGCUCUUUUCACCAGGAGCUCUCAAAGUGUGUUACAAAGGGAGUCAGUAGCAUCAGCCCCAUUUCACAGAUGGGGACACUGAGGCACAGUGAAGGGACGUGAGACCCAAGAACCUCUUAAUGCCAGCUGGCAAGAGAGUGCAGCGGGGACACAGACAUCGCAUGAGUUUGGUGUGUUGCUUCUAGUUCACUAAAGAGUAUCAUGUGAAGUCUUGAAUAAAACCUGUGUCCCUCUGGUCAUCAAAAUCAUUGUGAGAGGUUUCUCAUCACCAGUGUGAACGGAAUGCAAAUGAAGGAUGAUAAAAACUUCGGAGAGAGGAACUAACAGAGAGAGCAAAACAGUGGGGGGAAGACAAUCUGCGAGAACUGAGAUGGAAGAUCCUAGUUUGCCUGACUAUAUUUGAAGGGGGGAGCAGAGAAGAUCACUGAGGCUAUGCUUCAUGACAAAGGGGGUCUCAGUCGGGCUUGUUUGAAAGUUCUGAACAGAAUUCUGGGUGAGAAACUUCUCUAGACAGAAAAUCAGCCUGUUAAGUUUAGUCUCUAGAACGCAUGUAAUGAUUUUGUUUUGUAUGUAACCAUUUGUUUCCAAUAUUUUCAUUCGCUCACUUAUAGCUCUACUCUUUGGUAAUUAGCAUAUCCUUGUUUUGACUACAAAUAUGUCUCAGUACUGUGGUGUUAAGCAAAGUGCUGGGCCUGAGCUGAAUCUCACAAGCUGCUCCCUUGGGAACAGCCAGGCCUGGUAAUUCUGGGAGUGUUCAGUGGAUAAGGGUCUGGACACUGUAGGGAAUGCUCCGAGGACUCAGGGGAUGGUGGGUGCCAGUCACUACUUGUGCAGACCGAACAAGGCCUGCAGAGGCCUGGAAGCCAGUGCUGGUGCUGCAGAGACUGGCGGUUUCAGGCAGCUGCUCCCAGGAGGCACAGACCAUACUGCCUCAUGCUAAGGGCAGGUGGUGGUUAGUCUGGUUACCCUGAGGUGCAUCACAGGCAGUGACUUGUCCAAGGUCACCCCAUAGCCAGUGGCUGAGCUGGAAAUAGAAAUACUCAGACAGGAACAACGUUCAGGAUGGUUCAUUUCCAUCCAUGUCUGGUGAAGGUUGCAACACUUUUGGAUGGGUGGUGGGUAUCUGGUAUUCUAACCCUCCUGCCACUGUUUGGCUGCCAAAAAUGUGUGUAGGUGUCUCUCCUAUUUUACCACCCCUUCCUCCCCAGCCUCUCAGUUUUUGAGUUCUUCAGUCUACAGGGUUCUGAAGAGCAACAGUGAAACUGACAGUUUUUAUUUUGCUGUAGCUUGGCAAAGUUCUGAGCAGCAAUAGAGGUACCUGAGCAGCUGCUGAUGUGUCUGUCUGCAGACUCAGGCAAAUCAGGGGAAUUGGAUACAGUCAAUUCACAUGUAGAUGUUUUUCCUUGCGAUCACAAGGGGCAAAAACUUGGUUUUAAUUAGAGAUCAUAUUAAGCAGCAGUUGCUGGUUCCCACCUGGGAAAGACUCCUACUCACCCUGAGCAAUUUGAUUUUCCAAGCCAGGCCCCAACCCAUACACCAUGCUGCCAUCUUGCCCCUGUUUGUGCCUUGUCCCACAGGGAAGGAAAUCAGUGCUGGUUCCAAUUAAGGACUUUAGCUAAGGAGAUUCCUAACCCUAUUUUAACAUGAUCCUCUCAGCAAAAGGUCAGAUUAGCAAGUCCUCCAUCUAAUCAACAAAUCGCUUUCCUUGAAGCUCUUCAUGCCUAAGAAAAACAACCUCAUUAUUAACAACAUCUCUUCCUAAACAAUGUCUCAUGCGGCGUUAAACCUUGCUGCCACCUGCUGGCUGCUGAAAUUCUGCACUCAGACUCUAUACGAAUCCCUGUGAACACAGCAGCUCUAAUAAUAGAAAUUGUCCUAUUGGAAAGAACCGAUGGCUCAGCUAGUCUGCUGUCCCCACUUCCUGCUCAGGGGUUUGGUUAUCCUGCUAUUCCCUCCUCCUCUUUCACUGGGACAAAUCAAUGUUCUAUCUACUCCAAUACCCAGCCUCCCACAGGGGCACAUAUUGGAUAUUUAAGAAAAAUGUGAAAAAUCCCCAAAAUACAUCUGGUCUACUGCUACUUGGGUGUGGGGGUGUGUGAGUGAUUUCUCCCUGUCCCUGAUCAGCACUUUGUUCACGCUGUAUCGCGCAAGACCUGAAAGCCCUUGUAUUUCUUCCCAGCGAGUGCUGAUGCUAGUCUUAGUUGUACAAACACCUAAUGCUUUCUGAACCUGUC